AGAGUUUGAUUAUGGCUCAGGAUGAACGCUAGCUACAGGCUUAACACAUGCAAGUCGAGGGGCAGCAGGAUGAUAGCUUGCUAUGUUGCUGGCGACCGGCGCACGGGUGAGUAACGCGUAUCCAACCUUCCCCUUAGUAGGGCAUAGCCCGGUGAAAAUCGGAUUAAUACCCUAUGUUGUGUCAUGAGGACAUCUGAAUAACACUAAAGAUUUAUCGCUAAGGGAUGGGGAUGCGUCCGAUUAGGUAGUCGGCGGGGUAACGGCCCACCGAGCCCUCGAUCGGUAGGGGUUCUGAGAGGAAGGUCCCCCACACUGGUACUGAGACACGGACCAGACUCCUACGGGAGGCAGCAGUGAGGAAUAUUGGUCAAUGGGCGUAAGCCUGAACCAGCCAAGUAGCGUGCAGGAUGACGGCCCUAUGGGUUGUAAACUGCUUUUAUACGGGGAUAAAGUGAGGGACGUGUCCCUUAUUGUAGGUACCGUAUGAAUAAGGACCGGCUAAUUCCGUGCCAGCAGCAGC
rnacentral:rRNA from 1 species